rnacentral:lncRNA from 10 species
AUUUUUUGUAAUCUAAAACUGUUCUAAAAAUAAAUUUUAUUUAAAAAUAAUAAGAUACAAUAAUUUGAUUUUCCGUUCUUCUUUCAAGCUUUGGAAGCAGUCUCAAAGGAGAUAUUAAGACUCACUAGAGAGCUAAGUUUGAGAGGUAAGUUUGUGGGCUUUUUUUGUAAGAACAGAGCCCCAGAGAAGCCACUCUCCAACCAACAAAUCCUUCUCUGAAAGAGUUCAUCAGUGAAUACUACUCAUAAGAACUUACUGUCCCAGAAGACAGUCUCUCACGUCUGGAAUUCUCGAAAUCACUGGUUCCAACUGGAUCACUCUCCGCAAAUGGCCUCAGCAUUAAAGAAUGAUCUCUUUUUAUAAACUUCAACAGAAGUUGCUGAGACUUCCAGGAUGAUGUGAACAAGAGCCGUGGGAGAAAGCAUCCUGGCCUUGCACCUGGUCUGAUGAAGACAGCACUUGGUCAUUCACCACCCUACUCUGGAGAAUGUUACUCUGGAUAACAGGAAGUCAUCCAAAAAAUUCUAGCUUGGCUUCUAUCUGUGAUGGUUCCAAUUCAAAGUCUUUGCUACGCUGUUUGGGUCUUCCCAGCAUAUGCACCAUAUAAAAGGUUAGUCUGGGACUUGGCAGUGGUUUCUAUGGAGUUCAGUUCUUGAACUUGUUGCUAUGUGUCUUUGGUCCAAUCCACACAUACAUUGCUCAGGGGUAACUCUGGAACUUAUGCCAGUUUAUACACAGAAUUAGGCGAUGCUUUUCUCCAGCUCUCUGCAAUCUGGGAUUUCUCCUACUAUCUCUGACCCCCCCACUCUCUUUCUCAUUCCUCCUGCUGGAAGGAUGGAGUUCUCAGAGUUUAGCCUCUAGCACUGACAUGCAGUUCUACACAACCGAAGCCAUCCUUGUGUCAUUAUUCAAGUUUUGGCCUUUGUCCCUAACAAACGUCUACUCAACGUUUGUGAUCUACACAUAUCCACAGUCAAUAUGCUCUGUUACCCCUGCUGGAUGCCGAAAACCAUGGAUAUGCCUACAACCUAUGUCUACUGUGUUUUUCCUAUACAUACGUAACUAUGAUAAAGUUUAAUUUGUCAUAGGCUCAGUAAAAGAUUAACAAUAGCUAAUAAUUAAUAGAACAAUUAUAACAAUUAUGCUGUAAUAAAAGUUUUGUUAAUGUGAUCUCUUUCUCCGCUUUCAACGGAGUCAUCUUGUUCUUUUAAGAUUUGAGGCUGGGCAUUGACUUCUCUGUGUGUAAAAAAGUCCUACAUAGCAUCUUCUUCCAAUAAAAGGCUGUUUCAUCUACAUAGAAAAUAUGCUUUUUAGUGUAGCCACCUUCAUCACUUCUCUUAGCUAGAUCUUCUGUAGCUUCUCCAUCAACACUUGCCACUUCACCUUACACUUCAUGUUAUGAAGACAGCUUCCAUCCUUAAACCUCAUGAACCAACCUCUGCUAGUUUUAAAUUUUUUUCGGAGCCUUUUAAACUUCUCUCAGUCUUCAUAUAAUUGAAGAGAGAUAGGGCCUUGUUCUGGGUUAGGCUUUGACUUAAGGGAAGGUUGUGGUCAGUUUGAUCUUCUAUUCAGACCACAAAAACUUCCUUCAUGUCAGCAAUAAAGGUGUUUCACUUUCUUAUCAUUUGUGUUUUCACUGAGGUAGGAAUUUUAAUUUCCAUCAAAAACUUUUCCAGGGCUGAGUGUGAUGGCUCACACCUGUAAUCCCAGCAAUUUGGGAGGUUGAGGUGGGAGGAUCACUUGAGGUCAGGAGUUUGAAACCAGCCUGGGCAACACAGCAAGACCUUGGACUCUACAAAAAAGUUUUUAAAAAAUCAUCUGGGUGUGCUGGCAUGUGCCUGUAGUCCCAGCUACUUGAGAGGCUGAGGCAGGAGGAUUGUUUGAGUCCAGAAGUUCGAGGCUGCAGUGAGCUAUGAUCAUACCACUGUACUUCAGCGUGGGCAACAAAGUGAAACUGCCUCAAGCAACAAAACAAAACAAAGGAACUUUUCCUUUGCAUUCCCAACUUGGCUAACUAACAUAUCACAUACAGAGAAAGAAGGAUUAUUAACAGCCACCUUCUUAUCAGAAACUGUAAGGACAGAAAAAGGGAGAACAAUCUUUUGGAAAUGCUGAAAGAAAAAACUGUGGACACAGAAUUUUAUAUUCAAUGUCAAUAUCUUUUAAGAAUGAAGCCCCAGCUGGGCAUGGUGGCUCACGCCCGUAAUCCCAGCACUUAGAGAGGCCGAGACGGGUGGAUCACCUGAGGUCAAGAGUUCAAGACCAGCCUGGCCAGCAUGGUGAAACCCUGUCUCUACUAAAAAUACAAGAAAAAUUAGCCAGGCUUGGUGGCACACACCUGCAUUCCCAGCUCCUCAGGAGGCGGAAGCAUGUGAAUAACUUGAACCCGGGAGGUGGAGGUUGCGGUGAGCUGAAAUGGUGCCCCUGCACUCCAGCCUGGGUGACAGAGUGAGACCCUGUCUCAAAAAAAAAAAAAAAAAAAAAAAAGUGAAGCCCCAGAACAUCAGUACAUUCAUACUCUCUCAGACAUUAUUGAGUAGCUUCAUUUGGCACAAAAGGCUUAGCUUUUGGUCUAUGUCAGCUUUCGACAUGCCUUCCUCACUGAGCUUAAUCAUUUCUAGUUUUUGACAUAAAGUGAGAGAAAUGCAGCUCUUUCUUUUACUUAAACACUCAGAGGUCAAUGUCGAAUAAUUAAUUAGCCUAGUUUAAUAUUCUUGCGUCUUUUGGAAUGGAGAGGCCCGGGGAGAGGAAGAGAGAUGGAGAAGUAGGAACACACACAUCAUUGACAGAUAAGUUCACUGCCUUAUAUGGGGAUGGUUCAUAGUGCCCCAAAACAAUUACAAUGGUAACAUCAAAGAUCACUGAUUAUAUAUCACCAUAACAGAAAUAAUAAUAGUGAAAAUGUUUGAAAAAUUUUUAGAAUUACCAAAAUCUGACACAGAGACAUGAAGUAAGCACACACUGUGAAAAAUGGUACCAACAGACUUGCUCGAAGAAGGGUUGCCACAAACCUCUGAUUUGCAAAAAAUACAGUAUGUGAGAAUUUCAGUAAAGCAAAGUGCAACAAAAUGAGAUAUGCCUGUGUUUUCUUAGUCUGUAUGUUUAUAUAGUAUUUAUUAAAUCUUAUUUCUAACAGCUUUAAGAAUGUUCCAUUUUAUUACAAAUGAUGAAAUACAAUUUUCU